rnacentral:rRNA from 1 species
UACGUAGGUGGCAAGCGUUGUCCGGAUUUACUGGGUGUAAAGGGCGCGUAGGCGGGCUCGUAAGUCAGACGUGAAAUACCGGGGCUCAACCCCGGGGCUGCGUUUGAAACUGCGAGUCUUGAGUGCCGGAGAGGAAAGCGGAAUUCCUAGUGUAGCGGUGAAAUGCGUAGAUAUUAGGAGGAACACCAGUGGCGAAGGCGGCUUUCUGGACGGUAACUGACGCUGAGGCGCGAAAGCGUGGGUAGCAAACAGG